GAUGAACGCUGGCGGCGUGCUUAAUACAUGCAAGUCGAGCGAACAGACGAGGAUCUUGCUCCUCGCACGUGAGCGGCGGACGUGUGAGUAACACGUGUAUAACCUACCUAUAAUACUGAGAAAACUUCGGGAAACCGGAUCUAAUACCGGAUAAGAUAUUGAACCGCAUUGUUCGAUAGUGAAUGACGGUGUUUCUGUCAGGUAUAGAUGGAUCCGCGCCUCAUUAGCUGGUUGGUAAGUUAACGGCUUACCAAGGCAACGAUGCGUAGACGACCUGUGAGAGUGAUCGGCCACACUGGAACUGGGACACGGACAAGACUCCUACGGGAGGCAGCAGUAGGCAAUCUUCCGCAAUGGGCGAAAGCAUGACGGAGCAACGCCGAGUGAGUGAUAAAGAUCUUCGGAUCGUAAAAACCUGCUAUUAGGGAAGAACAAAUGUGUAAGUAAACAUGGCCGUAUUGACGGUAACUAAUAAGAAAGCACCGGCUAACUACGUG
rnacentral:rRNA from 1 species